UCCAGGAGCUCAAAGGAUGAUGUCAGCUCUCCCUUGCACUUGCUCAUAAAUGAAUAAAUCCUUCUCUCUUCUAUUUAUGUGUAUUUUGGCUCCUGUGCCACAGCAUAGCGUCAUAGUUUUGGGGUCUCACAGGCUGGUUUCAAAUCCUGGCUCCACUGCCUAACUUGCUGGUGACUUAAAACAAGCUGCUUAACUUCUCAGCGCCCCUGUUUCCUCAUCUGUAAAAUGGAUAUGAUAAUAGUGUCUGCCUCAUAGGUUCUCGUGAGGAGUAAAUGAGAUCAUCCACACAGUGUGCCUGGAAUAGCAUCCCGUGCAACGCCAGCUCCAGACAGGCCAGCUGUCCUUGCCUCUGUCCCUGCUGCAUUUGAGCUCCAGAGUUCCUCAUCCUGGCCCUUCAACAAGGAGAAAAAGAGGCCGUACCACAAGGCGACUACCCUGCUCCAGUCUCUUCUGUUUUCACCCAGCUUUGGCCUCUGCCUGAGCAGGAUCUGUGUGUGUCACUAGACACCCCAUCUUUCUAACCUUGGCGGGACUGUAGACUGACUGCCGGGAGAGCUGCUUGUCCUCAGGUGGGUUGUUUCAUCUGAAUGCCUCUGAUGCAUCCUCUCCAGGCAAAAACAAGCCCCACCAAGAAGCAGGGAAAGAUGAUGAUAAAUGUUACUUGAGCAUUAGCAGAGCGGUAGACCAAGAAGAGGUUGCUGUAUGCCAACCUCAAGGAGAGACCAGGAGGAAAUAUGGUUGAGCUGCUGCACGAUGGAUUAAGGAAGGCUUGAGAAAGGUACCAGGCCAGCUAAGAAGAAGAGUUCAGGGUAUAGUUUUACUUUCCGAGGAAACACUCUGGACAUUUGCCUUUCUUUCGGAUGAAGGAGGAACAUUUCUGCCCAAGACAAGGAUGGGGUUCAAUACCUUUCGCUUUGCAACUUUCUGAGACGCGCAGGAUAACAAGGAGGUGGGGAAGGAGGGUCUCAGCUUCAGGUUCCAGUAUCCUCCGACCACCUUGACCUUGUGACAGCCCAACAAGCAGGGUGGUGGACAAACGCGGGGGGGGUCUUCUCAACUCCUCCCAAGCGCUGGUGUAAGGCUGGUGUUGGGGGACGUGAUGGGCUGAAGAGUGUCUCUCCAAUAUUCAUGACCACUCGGAAACCUCAGACUGUGACUUUACUUGGGAAUAAGGUCUUGGCAGGUGUAAGUAGGUAAGGACCUCAAGAUGAAGUCAUCCAGGAUGCAGGGCGGGCCCUACAUCCCAAAGACAGGCACCCCUGUAAGAUGAGGAGAAGACAUACAAAGAACAGCAUGUGAGGACGGAGGCAGAGACCGGAGUGAUGGAUCGACAAGCCAAGGAGUGUGAGAGAAUGCCUGCCCCACCAGACACUGGGAAAGAGACAUGGGACAGAUGUUCCCCCAGAGCCUCCGGAAGCAACCGACUUUGUUGACACCUUGAUUUCUGGUCUUUGUCCUCCAGAGCUGUGACAGAAUAAAUUUCUGUUGUUUUAAAUUCCAUGUGGGAAAAAACUGUUUUAUCAGCCCCAGAAGACGAAUACAAGGGCAGGUUCCAGAGGCCCCCAGGUGCCCCGAAGUGCCCUGGAGCAGCACCGGGUUGAAUGGCCCCAACGUCAGUGUCUGCAGCAUCUCUUAGUAGAGAGUCUUCAGAAGUUAGAGAUUCUAUGACAUAGGCCACCCCGUUCCUGCGCCCUCAUCCCCACCCCCGGAGCUUCCAAACCCCGCCCUGAACCGCUCCCUGCACCACUCACUGCGGGCUUCAGGCCAAGCCCAAGCAUUGCCCGCCUCCUCUCCGACCCCCACAUCUGCUCACAGCUUUCGGCCUCCCCCACACAGAUUCCUCAGAGACUCAGGAUCAGAGAUGAGGCCAGGCGGUGACCAGCCACCAAGGUCCCUUCACCUGCCGGACCUCCAGCAGCCGCUCUCACGCUCAGCGACGGCCGCCAGUCACGGCGGACUCUCUGGCCUGGAGGAAGCAGGGAACCCAGAGGCGCAGGGUUACGGGAGGUCAACACCAAGAUGCCAACGCUCAAAAUAGGGGCCUCAGAGAACCCUCAAAAGAAGGCACUCUUUUAUCUGUUGUCCCAGUUCCUCUGAUAAAGAUACCUGGAAAGUUUCUUGCCUUUAAAUGGGGCGUAUGUGCAAAUGUGAUGUUCGGGAGGAAUAUUCCAGAGUAGAUGAAGGGCCCAACGCGGAGGCCUCUCUAAUGGCAGCCCACACGAUUACACAUUCCACAGGGACAGGCCUGUCGCCUGAGCCAUUCCCCUUCCUCCCGACAACGCACGCCUUCCCGUUGGACGCUGCCCUCCUCAUAAGCGGCUCUUAGCCGCCUACUGAAGUCUCAAAAUGAUCACAGUCUCAAAGCUGCCAUGCCCUGCUCAGAGCGGUGGGGGGCUGGCAAGUCUCCAGAGGGCCUCCUGGGUGGGUUUCCAGCUCUGCGGCCCGCCUGGGAGCCAGAAGGAGGGAGCGGCCACUCUCUUCCCUUCUCCCGGGCCGCGCUGCGGUGGGGAGAUGGGGGCCUGGGCGGUGAGGCCUUGCUGCGGGGGAGGCAGCUGAGGGUAAAGGGGCCGCAGAUGAGGAUGAGGCAGAGGGGACAUGCCCCGGAAACUUUGGCUCCCUGGAGGCAGAAAGCCAAGCAAGUCUUGGCAACGCAUCCUGGGAGUCAUGAGCCUGAUGGGCACGGAGAGAGAAAGGCCAGACUCAGGAAGGGGUCACGGUCAUGGCAACCGCCUGUUUCACUGCCAGCCUUCUGCCUCAUCGUCCCUGCCCACCCCGCACAUGUUGGUCAGGCUGCCCCAACAUUUGGUUCAGGACUGUGGCCCCUAGAAGCGUGACUGU